AGCAGGGUUGGGAAUGGGGAUGGAGGUGGGGAGGCUUCAGGAUGCAGGAAUGGGCUGUGAUUGUUCUCAGAGCUCAGGAAUUCAGGUGACUGAGGGUCUUCUGCAGACAGGAGUCAGAUCCAUCAGUCCUGAUUAGUGCAAAUUUUCCUGAAGCUUUUGGGCAUAAUCUGGUAAGCAAUUCAGCAGAUAAACAAGGACAGCUGCCUACAAGUCAACCAUGGUGCACCUCAGCUGACAGUGAGGGAUGCCGUUUCAGAAGACUGACUGUGCUUGAGAUUUUUAUAAAUAAGGACCCCUUUCCUCACUUCAAACUCCCAAAAAUGUCUGAGUUGUGGAAAUGGUUGGAAGUUGAGUCCGUCAGCUGGCAGAGGCCUGGAAGACACCAGCCCUCUCACCAGACCCUAUGCAGAGUUGUGGUUUUCCAGGAAGCAUUAGGGGCCAAGAGCACAGAGCUGUGGCAUGAAGGGAUCCAGGAAAAGGUGGAAGAAACAGCCAGGCAAGAAAGUACAAGUUCAUGUCAGCACUCCAGCGCCCUGCUCACUCCUGCUCAAGUGAGCUGACCUGCUACUGCCAGAAUGUUGCCUGGCUCCCUGAGUCACACAGAACAUCUGAAGAGGCAGUGUGGCAAAGGAAGUACAGAGCUGAGUUGAGGGCAGGACAGGCCUCGGAGUUUGGAUUUCAACUCUUCACCCCCAUGUAGACAAGUUAUUUUAGGUUGUUGUAAUAAUGGAAAGCUGACCAACAGAGGAUCAAACAAGUUCCGCUGCGAUGUUUUAGGACCUCAGCUGAGCACUCUUUCCUCUGCCUGAGGAGACCCAGCCUGGCCUCAGCAUGGCUUGUUAUCAUGCUGUUUUUUAUCAACUUAGCACCUGAGCGGCAUGGACACAGCCUUCUUUGAGGCUGUUGCCUUCAU